UACGUAGGUGACGAGCGUUGUCCGGAUUUACUGGGCGUAAAGAGCGCGCAGGCGGUCGAUCAAGUCGAGUGUGAAAGCCCCCGGCUCAACUGGGGAGGGUCAUUCGAUACUGUUCGACUCGAAGGCAGGAGAGGGAAGUGGAAUUCCCGGUGUAGUGGUGAAAUGCGUAGAUAUCGGGAGGAACACCAGUGGCGAAGGCGACUUCCUGGCCUGUUCUUGACGCUGAGGCGCGAAAGCUAGGGGAGCAAACGGGG
rnacentral:rRNA from 1 species